UGCAGCCAGUUGCUGUUAAUGAGCUGAGAAGCAGGCAGAGUUUGGAAAAAUCAGUGUGAUGGGACAGGAAGCAGAAACAAAGUUGAAGGUGGAGUUGGUGGCCUCGAUCAGCGGAGAGUUGGAGCAGACACAUCUCGGACAUAGAAAAGGAUGGCUGAAGAGAAUCUGAACAAGCAAUGAACAACAGUGGAUUAGACACAGACCUGGAAGAUGACAGUUCCACCUGUUCAGAUUCAGGGUAUGUGGAGAAGAGAAGGAAAAUUAAUCAAGCCAUCCAAAAAAUUGAACAGUACUUGAAUCAGAUACACAAGGACAGCAUAAAACUAACUGAAUGGA